rnacentral:miRNA from 1 species
GAGUUCCCCCAAACACUUCA